UACGUAGGGGGCAAGCGUUGUCCGGAAUCAUUGGGCGUAAAGCGCGCGUAGGCGGCCCGGUAAGUCCGCUCUGAAAGUCCAGGGCUCAACCCUGGAAAGCGGGUGGAUACUGCCGGGCUAGAAUCCGGAAGAGGCGAGUGGAAUUCCUGGUGUAGCGGUGGAAUGCGCAGAUAUCAGGAGGAACACCGAUUGCGAAGGCAGCUCGCUGGGACGUAACUGACGCUGAGACGCGAAAGCGUGGGGAGCAAACAGG
rnacentral:rRNA from 1 species